UGGGGGAUAUUGCACAAUGGGGGGAACCCUGAUGCAGCGACGCCGCGUGGGUGAUGAAGCGCCUCGGCGCGUAAAGCCCUGUCAGCAGGGAAGAAAAUGACGGUACCUGAAGAAGAAGCCCCGGCUAACUACGUGCC
rnacentral:rRNA from 1 species